rnacentral:rRNA from 1 species
GACGAACGCUGGCGGCGUGCCUAAUACAUGCAAGUAGAACGCACAGUUUAUACCGUAGCUUGCUACACCAUAGACUGUGAGUUGCGAACGGGUGAGUAACGCGUAGGUAACCUGCCUGGUAGCGGGGGAUAACUAUUGGAAACGAUAGCUAAUACCGCAUAAUAUUGAUUAUUGCAUGAUAAUUAAUUGAAAGGUGCAAUUGCACCACUACCAGCUGGACCUGCGUUGUAUUAGCUAGUAGGUGAGGUAACGGCUCACCUAGGCGACGAUACAUAGCCGACCUGAGAGGGUGAUCGGCCACACUGGGACUGAGACACGGCCCAGACUCCUACGGGAGGCAGCAGUAGGGAAUCUUCGGCAAUGGACGAAAGUCUGACCGAGCAACGCCGCGUGAGUGAAGAAGGUUUUCGGAUCGUAAAGCUCUGUUGUAAGAGAAGAACGGGUGUGAGAGUGGAAAGUUCACACUGUGACGGUAUCUUACCAGAAAGAGACGGCUAACUACGUG